GAUCAGGUAGGAAUACCCGCUG
rnacentral:rRNA from 1 species